GGUGUAAUAAGACUAGAUAAGCAAUUUUGAAUUUAACAGGUCGGAUGAGCCGUUGAUGCGAGGAUCUCACCACGACCAACACCAGCGGAGAAACCACAAGAACCAGGGGGAAAGAUAAGUCGGUUGUUUAUUCUGGGUGAGUUUAAAGGGAGAUCGUCGGUGCUCAUUAACAUGCAAGUUGAGUGGUUUUCUUGGGUGACUGGAUGGAAGAAAACAAUCUGAGAGUGAGCACAAGAGCAUCAAGGCAACCACUCCUUGAGAAGUUUAGCAGGCAGGCAGGCAGCUAUCUCAAUAUUUCUUGUUAACAGUGACACUGAGACGGAAUGGUGAAGAAGCAUCAACAUCAUCCAACAUUCUCAUCCUCGAGAGCCGUCCGUAGAGCCGUGUAGAGUGGAUAUUGAGACCAUCCAUAAGUUGUCAUCAAGACUUCAACUCAACUUCAACUCCAUUUAUCUUCCUCGUCACGAUUUCUUAAACAUUGCACAAUUUCAGCUCACCAUCAACUUCUCCCAACACUAAAUUUGGUCACCUUUUGAAAAAUUACGUCCACACUUGACAAAUGUGCACUCCGCUUUGGAAUUGUCAGUCCACAGGAAUUUGCUCUGUUUCACUCGACUGCAACCUAAUUACCCAAAGAGGCAGCUAUCAAACAAACUUGGACGCAGACGACGGGUGAUUGAUGGAACAAUUGGGUGACAGACCGUUAAAAACGAGACCUGACGAACCAAUUAAUGCAAUGGUACACACACAACAUACUUGUAAAUGCAACAAUGGCUUUUCCUGUGCAGCCGCAAUUCGAGCAACAUUGAUGAAUUGUUUCUCUCUUUUUUUACAAAUGUCAGAACUUGACGAGUGUUAUUGGAGAUGAAACUAAUUAAAAUGACAAAUGACAAUUUA